rnacentral:rRNA from 1 species
AUUGAACGCUGGCGGCAUGCUUUACACAUGCAAGUCGAACGGCAGCGCGGGCUUCGGCCUGGAGGCGAGUGGCGAACGGGUGAGUAAUACAUCGGAACGUGCCCAGUAGUGGGGGAUAGCUCGGCGAAAGCCGGAUUAAUACCGCAUACGACCUGAGGGUGAAAGCGGGGGAUCUUCGGACCUCCCGCUAUCGGAGCGGCCGAUGGCAGAUUAGCUAGUUGGUGGGGUAAAGGCCUACCAAGGCGACGAUCUGUAGCUGGUCUGAGAGGACGACCAGCCACACUGGGACUGAGACACGGCCCAGACUCCUACGGGAGGCAGCAGUGGGGAAUUUUGAACAAUGGGCGAAAGCCUGAUCCAGCAAUGCCGCGUGUGUGAUGAAGGCCUUCGGGUUGUAAAGCACUUUUGGCGGGAACGAAAAGGACUGUGCCAAUACCACGGUUCGAUGACGGUACCCGCAGAAUAAGCACCGGCUAACUACGUG